rnacentral:lncRNA from 1 species
UAAAAUUCACAUGUUCCAACGUUGAUAGUAUUUACCUUGUUAUUUUCAUCUCUCUUACUUCACCUUUGUAGGAUCUUUGUGGUUCUAUUGCAUUCCCCAAUUUGUUAAGAUUUUUGAAAUAAAAUGUAAUGUAACCAUUAUGAUCUUAUUUUUUUCAAAUUGGUGACUCACUGUCAGGGGUUUUUCUUAUCUCAGAGGUUCCUGGCUUGAAAUUCUUCUUGAAUCUAUUAUUACUGCCUAAUCAAGAACAAUUAAUGUUUAGUCAUAAGUAGUCUAUUAAAAUGGUUAAUGAGGACAUUACUUGUCACCAUAUAGCCUCUUGGUUUCUUGAGUGUUCCUCUCCUGCUAAUAUCCACUCUAG